UUCGCCUCUUUUGUUUAUAAAUUAUCUGACGACUCUCACUCAGUAUCUGGAGAACACAAAGUUAUAGGGAGUAGGGAUCACAGACUCUUCAAUUCAGAGAGAGAGAGAGAGAGAGAGAGAGAGAGAGUGAGCGACGAGAAAGAAAGAGAGCGAGAGAGCGACGAGAGAGAGAGUUCGAAUCUUCUAGUGGCGGCGGCGACAUGAUGAAGAACAAGUCAAGAAGAAGAGGAGGACGAUGAUUUACUCAGAUUUAUUUGUUUGGAGGAUGACUAUUACAAAAACGGUGUCCGUCGGGCGUUCUCUUACAGUAAAAACAACAUCAAAACUGUUCGAUUCAAAGAAGGGUAACAAUGAUUGUUAAAAACGUAAAGCUACAGUUUUUGAUGUAUGUCCGAGUAUCAUUCUUAGCCAUCGCAAGGCCACGAGAGAGAGAGAGAGAGCCAAAACAACUCAAAACUUCUCUAGAUGAUGGAGAUAUAUUUAUGCUGGUUCACUUCCUCCUUCCCAUUACUGUUUAGGAUGAUGCUGAAUUAUGGACCAAAACAAUGGCAAUGAAGUCCGCUUCUUAUUGCUCUGUGCAACUGGAGUGUGAGGGAUUAUGACCUUAACCAUGGAAUACUCCUCUUCUUGCUCUGUAAGUAAGGUGCUACUGAAGUUGGAACUCGACAAGGCACCAGAAUUCAAAGCAGCACCCUUUGAACAAAAAAGUUACUUGUCAUUGCCUCAUCCCAACAAUUCCCUUCCACAGGUGUGUGUGUGUGUAUGUUCGUGUUCCAACCAGGAUGAUGAUUUUGUUUGUGGACAACAAGGUGCUACUGAAGUGUUAAGGAUUAUGACCAUGGAACACCCCUCUUCUUGCUCUGUGCUAAUGAAGUGGAACUCGACAAGGCCCCAGAAUUCAAAGCACCAAUAUUUGAACAAAAAGGUACUUGUCAUGGCCUCAUCCCAACAAUUCCCUUCCACAGGUGUGUGUUCGUGUGUUCCAGCCAGAUUAUUUGGAGGAUGACGUAGAUUCAGACCAAAAAUGGUCGCGGGUGGUCGUUCUUACAGUGACAACAUCAAACUGAUUUUCUAAGCUUCUCUAGAUGAUGAAGAUAUACGGAGGUUCACUUUCUUUCCAUUGAUGUUAAGUUCGAUGCUGACUUAUGGACCCAAACGAUGGAAAAUAAAUCCUCUUCUUAUUGCUCUGUGCUACUGAAGUGUUAGGGAUUAUGACCAAGACCAUGGAAUACCCCUCUUCUUGCUCUGUGCUACUGAAGUGGAACUCGGCAAGGCACCAGAAUUGUCUCAAGCCAAAGGCCGCAGUAAUGUAUAAAGGGAAACGAGUGUUAAAUACUGGAAAAUUAUGACAUGUGAGCCAAUUAUUGUUUCAAAAUCAGCAAGGACUUCACCCCAUAGCACCAGCUUUUGCCUGCACCACAAAGAAGUUUCCACAUCUGCCAUAAUUCAAGGGGCUUCAUCUUCAAACAAUUGCAUUGACUAAUAAUAAUGCAGAGACAUCUUCAAUAACAGCUUCAACGGAAGUUUCUCAAGUGGAGAAUCAAAAUGUAGAACUCUGUGAUUACUUUGAGGAUUAUGAAAGUUUAGACUACCUGGUAUUUAUACUUUUGAGGUAAGAUUUACAAAGUUUAGAUUUAUCACAUUUUCGUUCGUGAUCAAGUCUAGGUUCAAGAUUGGAUUUAUGUAAAACAACAUCAAAUUGCUCGAUUCGAAGGGACAGUGAGACAGAGAGAGAGAGAGAUGGAGAGAGCAAACAGACCUGAAGUUGGAACUCCACAAGGCACCAUAAUUCAACGCAUAGCCUUUGAACAAAGAGGUGCUUGUCAUUGCCUCAUGUCAAAAAUUCCCUUCCACAGGUGCGUGUUCGUGUGUUCAAGAACCUUUUUUUUUGGAGGGAUGAAGUAGAUUCAGACGAAAAACGGUUGCCGGCGGGCGUUCUUGCAGUAACAACAUCAUACUGAUUUUUAGAGGGAAACGAGUGUUAAUGACGUAGCACUGCAUAAUCGUAUGCAAAAGUUCAUGACCAAAUCUUCUUCUUGCUCUGAAUGAAUCAAAAGAGCGAUAAAAAAAGUGUGGGAGGAGCAGUAGAAAAAAGAAGUAUGGGAUGCUCGUUGGGUUUGGCAACGUGUCUAUGAUACAAUCAUACAGCGGCUAUAUGUCAAUUUUUUUACAUGGCGUCGUGAGUGAGCCUUGAGAGGGACGUAGAUGUUUACAUGAUCGAAGAUAUUGUUGACUUUACACGUGAGAGGGAUUAACGACGUAAAAUUACACAAUUCAUAAAUAAGAUCAUUUUAAAAUUCAUAAAAUUAACAACAAUUCAUAAAUAAGAUCAUUUACAACAAUUC